UGCUAUGGGAAUUAAGUUCCCCUUCGAAAAUGUGUUUAUUGAAAGUGACACAGCGGGAUGCCAUGGCCAGAGCUGAUGCAGCCGAUCCUUGUUGCAAACUAUUUCCAUGUGAUCUAUAUAGGUCAACAGAAUCACAGUUUUGAAAAACCCGGCGGCAUUCUUGUAAGACAAAGAAAAGGAAUAGGGGAAUAUCUUACAAAUGUCAACGUACGGGUGAAGAUAUGAGGACAUUGAUACAAUUAAAUUGCAUGGGUCAAUUCAACGAGACUGGACAGAGGGUUGAAAAGUGCAAGCUUUUAAAGAAUUAUUAAGACUGCUGCUUACAAGGCUUACAAAGCAUCAAAGACAAUCUCUUACGAUUUAAUGAGAGGUGGGACGAAGAGUUUUGAUCCAUACCUUCCUGGAGGAAUUCAUUAAAUAUGAAAAGAAGAAAAUAGAGAAGUCCAAGUGUAAAACAGAUUACUUUCUAAUGGAAUAAGGAUGCUGUGAUCUUUUCGUUUUUCAAACAGUAAAAAUUUUAUUUGAGGGAAGACUGUAAUUUUAUUGUGCAGGUGUUAAAAAAACAGUGUUUAGACAACAUUAAUGAAUGGAUUCAAAUUUAUUAAAUUAUAAGAAAUA